rnacentral:rRNA from 1 species
GCGGUGCGGUCUGGAGGACCCGGUGUAUAUCUUGAAUGUCAAAACGACUCUCGGCAACGGAUAUCUCGGCUCUCGCAUCGAUGAAGAACGUAGCGAAAUGCGAUACUUGGUGUGAAUUGCAGAAUCCCGUGAACCAUCGAGUCUUUGAACGCAAGUUGCGCCCGAAGCCAUUAGGCCGAGGGCACGUCUGCCUGGGCGUCACGC